AGGGGUAUAGCUCAAGUGGUAGAGCGUGCACUUGGCAUACAUAAGGUCCUGGGUUCAAUCCCCAGUACCUCCU
rnacentral:tRNA from 1 species